rnacentral:misc_RNA from 1 species
GAUGAAGAACGUAGCGAAAUGCGAUAAGUAAUGUGAAUUGCAGAAUUCAGUGAAUCAUCGAAUCUUUGAACGCACAUUGCGCCCGCCAGUAUUCUGGCGGGCAUGCCUGUUCGAGCGUCAUUACAACCCUCAGGCCCCCGGGCCUGGCGUUGGGGAUCGGCGGAAGCCCCCUGCGGGCACAACGCCGUCCCCCAAAUACAGUGGCGGUCCCGCCGCAGCUUCCAUUGCGUAGUAGCACACCUCGCACCGGAGAGCGGCUCGGCCACGCCGUGAAACCCCCAAUUUUUUAAGGUUGACCUCGGAUCAGGUAGGAAUACCCGCUGAACUUAAGCAUAUCAAUAAGCGGAGGA